GUCCACGCCGUAAACGAUGAUAACUAGCUGUCGGGGCUCAUGGAGUUUCGGUGGCGCAGCUAACGCGAUAAGUUAUCCGCCUGGGGAGUACGGCCGCAAGGUUAAAACUCAAAGAAAUUGACGGGGGCCUGCACAAGCGGUGGAGCAUGUGGUUUAAUUCGAAGCAACGCGCAGAACCUUACCAGCGUUUGACAUGGUAGGACGGUUUCCAGAGAUGGAUUCCUUCCCUUACGGGACCUACACACAGGUGCUGCAUGGCUGUCGU
rnacentral:rRNA from 1 species